rnacentral:rRNA from 1 species
GACGAACGCUGGCGGCGUGCCUAAUACAUGCAAGUAGGACGCAGUUGCGAACGGGUGAGUAACGCGUAGGUAACUGCCUAUUAGAGGGGGAUAACUAUUGGAAACGAUAGCUAAUACCGCAUAAUAGUAGAUUGACCUGCGUUGUAUUAGCUAGUAGGUAGGGUAAUGGCCUACCUAGGCAACGAUCCAUAGCCGACCUGAGAGGGUGACCGGCCAAAAUGGGCCUGAGACACGGCCCAGACUCCUACGGGAUGCAGCAGUAGGGAAACUUCGGCAAUGGGGGGAACCCUGACCGGGCAACGCCGGGGGAGUGAAGAAGGUGUUCGGAUCGUAAAGCUCUGUUGUUAAGGAAGCGGUAAUUAACCAGAAAGGGACGGCUAACUACGUGCCAGCAGCCGCGGUAAUAC